UGCGGUGGCCUGUGGGGCGCGCCCGGGCGCCGCCGCCGCGUCCUGCUCCGCCACCGCACCCCGGGGCGCCGCGAAGCGCGAGUCCUCCUUGGGGACGUGGGCGCCGCCUCCCGGGGCAGCUCCAGCUGGUUGUCAUCUUCAUCAAUGAGACUCAACAUCUGAAGUGAACAGUGGAAAUUGUUUGGGUAGAAGACAGCUCAAAUGAAGUUUCAAAAGGAAGACUCAAAGUGAAACUAGGAAUUGGAGGUGCCUAACUGAAGGACUAGAGAAACAAACUGCUUUAAUGUGAAACAAAAUUCAACAACAAGUGGACUUUCAUGGGCUCCAUAACAAUUUGUAAUUCUUAUUUCUGUGGUAGGAACUGAAAUAUGUAGAUAGGUAUUUAUAAUGAGGAAUAUUGCAGUGUUUCCUGUUUUUAGAAGUUUACUAUUCUGGUGAAAUUAGACUUUCAACAAUAACUGCUAUAGUGAGGGGAUACUGACUCCUUUGCAGUUUUUUAAAAAAAGAGCUAGAUUUUUAAAUCAAAACAAUCAAUUGAAAAUACCUUUGUGAAUAAUGGGGUUGGCAGUGAAUUUGAAAUAUUUUGCAAUUAAUUUUAUUUGACCAUCCUGGUAAUGUAUUUCUGUAUUAAUUAAUGCCAUAAUUUUCUAUAGACAUAGAUAUGUUCUUUGCUUCUCAAUAGUAGUACUAUACCUAUUUACAUUUAUAUGCUGGAAAGUUAGAAGAGAUAAAGCUUUAUAUGAAUUCCAUACAAUAUUGACAGUAAUAAAGUUUGUCUGAUUAUUUUCAUAGUUAAAUUCAGGUUGUAUAUUUUUGCCCAGAAGCUACACUUGAUCCUUUCAUGCAUGUUACUUAAAUAUAUUUAUCAUUUUACUUAAAUAUCAUGCAUUUCAUGCAUGAUAUUUUAUCAUUUUAUCAUUUUACUUAAAUAUAUUUAUCAUUUUAUUUAAAUAUAUUUUAUCAUUUACUUAUGUUCUAAAAUGGACACACAGAUGUAAAGUAGAUAAAGAAAUGUGAAAAGUAAGGUUACAGAAUACUUGUGGAAAAAAGGCAGUAUUGUAGCAUCUGUUAUAAUUGUAAAUAUGCCUAAGAGUGUCUGCUUGACUUGUCCAUCCAGAGAAAAAAAUGUAAGCAUGUUUUAGUUAUAGGUAAAUUGUACCCAUCAUAGGCAUAUCAACUAUCUCUACAAUUAUUAUUAAUAAUACUAUGACUCUAUUUGUAUAAACAAAGCUUUUUUGCCCUACCUACCAGGAAAGGUUAAGUUCCUUUGAAGAGCAUGUGUGUAAAUUAUCUCCACAUCUGAAAUUCUUAGAUUUUAAAUUUCUUAGUCUUUGAGCUUAUUGAAGUUAAAAAUUGUCUUCUUUAUAUAUUUUCAGUAUUUAUCAUAGUAAUAAAGAGUAUUGCUACUAUUUAUUAUACA